ensembl:snRNA
GUGUUGUAUGAAAGGAGAGAAGGUUAGCACUCCCCUUGUCAAGGUUGGAAGGGGCCCUCGGGCCUGACGACAUGCAUACAGUUAAGAAACCCACAUGCUAAACCAAGCAACGACUCAGAUCU